CUUUCCUUUACCACGGUCCAAGUCUGUACCUGGAACCACAAACACAACACACAAGCAUAUGAUCAGAUAACCUAACACAAGGAUCUAUCAUUGCAUGGCUAGUUCCAUAACUAAUCAUCAAACUACACAUCAGGCCCUAAUCUAGCCGAUUUCAAAAGUGUUACAAAAACUAAAUAAAAUUCACUAAAACUCAUGAUAAAUCUCAACUAAGAGAUUCCCAUAAUCAGAAUCCAAUGAAUCGACCCGGAUCAUAUGUUUCUUUGUGGAUAAUUGAAAACUUAGAAUGUGUAUCUAGAGUAAUUUUUUAUAAGAUAAAUAUGAAAAUAGAGUAUAGUAGAGAACAAAGGGAGUCCAAGAUUUUCUCUCAUAAAUUGUUCAGAUCUCUCUCUCUCAAAGUUUAAACUCUCUUUAGAAAACAUAAUAUAUGGUUUAAAAAACAUAAUAUAUGGUUUAAAACAGCUAUUUUAAUAAAUGAAACUUGUAAACCAAAACUGUAAUUUUGGAACAUUUAAACAAAAAUAAUUAAAAAUUAGUGUCGCUGUUUCCUAGUAUACAUAUUUUGAUUGAUUAUAAAUUCAUGUAGUAUUUAUAAAUCCAAAUAAAAUAUGAAAAUUUUUAAAUUUUUUUGGAUUAGUAUUUACAAAUCUGGAGGUUUUCUCUCGGAUUUGAAUCAUUAUAUUUUUAACAAAAAAAUCCAAACAAAUCCAUUCAAAUCCAUUAUAAAAUAAAAUUUAUAAAUAAAUACGUACGGCUACGUGGAGCCGCAGCUGAUCAGCUUCUUCAACGGAGGUGUUAAUCUUCGUUAUCAGACUACGCUUGAUACAGCCAACGAGGGAAAUUUCAACACAAAGAGUCUAGAAAAUGCGAUUAGGCUGAUAGAGAACGUAGCUACCGUUAGAGCUUUCGAGAAAAUGAGCGAAAAACAAGGAAAUGGAGUCAAACCUAAUGCUGAUAUAGCUGAAAUUAGGGAAACCUCAGACUCGCUUUAUUCCCUUUUGACGGAUCAAAACGAAUCCCGAGUUUUCAAAAUAGAGGAUAAUAACCCGUCGAAUCUGGAAGGACAAACAAAACCCACAUAUGCAGUGGAUCUUCAUGAUCAGCACACUGGGUUUAGUGAUCUUAGCUUUACCCGAAGAUAUGAUGCGAUGAACAGCCCGUACAGGAAAAAGAUUAAAUCUA
rnacentral:lncRNA from 1 species